UACGAGGGGGGCGAGCGUUGUCCGGAAUCAUUGGGCGUAAAGCGCGUGUAGGCGGCUCGAUAAGUCUGCUGUGAAAGUUCAGGGCUCAACCCUGAAAUGCCGGUGGAAACUGUCGGGCUAGAGUCCGGAAGAGGCGAGUGGAAUUCCUGGUGUAGCGGUGAAAUGCGCAGAUAUCAGGAGGAACACCAAUGGCGAAGGCAGCUCGCUGGGACGGUACUGACGCUGAGACGCGAAAGCGUGGGGAGCAAACAGG
rnacentral:rRNA from 1 species